GAGUUUGAUCUUGGCUCAGAUUGAACGCUGGCGGCAUGCCUUACACAUGCAAGUCGAACGGCAGCACGGGAGCUUGCUCCUGGUGGCGAGUGGCGAACGGGUGAGUAAUGCAUCGGAACGUAUCCUGGAGUGGGGGAUAACGUAGCGAAAGUUACGCUAAUACCGCAUAUUCUGUGAGCAGGAAAGCGGGGGACCUUCGGGCCUCGCGCUCUUGGAGCGGCCGAUGUCGGAUUAGCUAGUUGGUGAGGUAAAGGCUCACCAAGGCGACGAUCCGUAGCAGGUCUGAGAGGAUGAUCUGCCACACUGGAACUGAGACACGGUCCAGACUCCUACGGGAGGCAGCAGUGGGAAUUUUGGACAAUGGGGGCAACCCUGAUCCAGCCAUGCCGCGUGAGUGAAGAAGG
rnacentral:rRNA from 2 species